AGCGAACGCUGGCGGCAGGCUUAACACAUGCAAGUCGAGCGCCGUAGCAAUACGGAGCGGCAGACGGGUGAGUAACACGUGGGAACGUGCCUUUCGGUUCGGAACAACCCAGGGAAACUUGGGCUAAUACCGGAUACGCCCUUACGGGGAAAGAUUUAUCGCCGAAAGAUCGGCUCGCGUCUGAUUAGCUUGUUGGUGAGGUAACGGCUCACCAAGGCGACGAUCAGUAGCUGGUCUGAGAGGAUGAUCAGCCACACUGGGACUGAGACACGGCCCAGACUCCUACGGGAGGCAGCAGUGGGGAAUCUUGGACAAUGGGCGCAAGCCUGAUCCAGCCAUGCCGCGUGAGUGAUGAAGGCCUUAGGGUUGUAAAGCUCUUUCGGCGGGGAAGAUAAUGACGGUACCCGCAGAAGAAGCCCCGGCUAACUUCGUGCCAGCCGCCGCAGUAACAC
rnacentral:rRNA from 1 species